UACAGAGGUCCCAAGCGUUGUUCGGAUUCACUGGGCGUAAAGGGGGCGUAGGUGGUGAGGUAAGUCGGAUGUGAAAGCUCGGAGCUCAACUCCGAAAUGGCAUUGGAAACUACCUUGCUCGAGGGUUGGAGGGGGGACUGGAAUACUUGGUGUAGCAGUGAAAUGCGUAGAUAUCAAGUGGAACACCAGUGGCGAAGGCGAGUCCCUGGACAACUCCUGACACUGAGGCACGAAAGCUAGGGGAGCAAACAGG
rnacentral:rRNA from 1 species